GAAGGUAUAGCUCAGUGGUAAAGUACAUGCUUAUCAUACAUGAGGUCCUAGAUUCAAUACUCAGUACCUCCA
rnacentral:tRNA from 1 species